UGCAGUCGAGCGGUAGAGAGAAGCUUGCUUCUCUUGAGAGCGGCGGACGGGUGAGUAAUGCCUAGGAAUCUGCCUGGUAGUGGGGGAUAACGUUCGGAAACGGACGCUAAUACCGCAUACGUCCUACGGGAGAAAGCAGGGGACCUUCGGGCCUUGCGCUAUCAGAUGAGCCUAGGUCGGAUUAGCUAGUUGGUGAGGUAAUGGCUCACCAAGGCGACGAUCCGUAACUGGUCUGAGAGGAUGAUCAGUCACACUGGAACUGAGACACGGUCCAGACUCCUACGGGAGGCAGCAGUGGGGAAUAUUGGACAAUGGGCGAAAGCCUGAUCCAGCCAUGCCGCGUGUGUGAAGAAGGUCUUCGGAUUGUAAAGCACUUUAAGUUGGGAGGAAGGGUUGUAGAUUAAUACUCUGCAAUUUUGACGUUACCGACAGAAUAAGCACCGGCUAACUCUGUGCCAGCAGCCGCGGUAAUACAGAGGGUGCAAGCGUUAAUCGGAAUUACUGGGCGUAAAGCGCGCGUAGGUGGUUUGUUAAGUUGGAUGUGAAAUCCCCGGGCUCAACCUGGGAACUGCAUUCAAAACUGACUGACUAGAGUAUGGUAGAGGGUGGUGGAAUUUCCUGUGUAGCGGUGAAAUGCGUAGAUAUAGGAAGGAACACCAGUGGCGAAGGCGACCACCUGGACUAAUACUGACACUGAGGUGCGAAAGCGUGGGGAGCAAACAGGAUUAGAUACCCUGUAGUCCA
rnacentral:rRNA from 1 species